rnacentral:lncRNA from 1 species
GAGGGAAAGGAGCGCCAGUUGACUUGUACUUGUGUUUGAUUGGACAGAACUGAGUCACGUGGCUAACCCUAGCCGUGAGGGAGUCUGAAAAGGUUAUCUAAAGCAUCAAUAUCUGAUUGUCCUGGUGAGAAUUCUUUCUGUUCAGCUUGUCUUUGGGACAUGGAUGGAAUGUGAAUUGGAAUCCUGAGCCUUGUUGGUUCUGCCCUUUGGAAAGGUAACUCCACAUACUGACAGAGGACUUCUGGGCCGACGAGGACAUAAGGCAAGUGGGAAGUAGGCUGAAAAACA